GAACACUGUUACCUUCCCACCAAAAUGGAGAUGCUCUCCAGUGUCGAGUAUGCAUGACCAGAGAUCCAUCAAAACCUUGUGAUCCACCUUUGACCUGUGAAGUCACCACUGAAACAGGAACCUGUGCUUUCGUCAAAGCCUAUAAAAAUGGAGAGUUGUUUCUGUCAGUACAAGAUUGUUGGCCAGAGAGAGGAGAAGCCUGCAAUACCAAAGAGGAUCAUACAGGAGUGGAUAUCCAGGCUGAAGUCAGUUGUUGCAAUGAUAAAGACUAUUGCAAUGAACAAACAUAGACAAGUCUAAUAGUCACCUGAAAGAGGCUCAAUGCAUCUAAAGUUCUGUGUGCCCUUCUCUCUGUAGUUACGCUCUUUCAAAUUUCUUUCCCUGCUUGUAUUAA